rnacentral:tRNA from 1 species
AUUAUUUUGGCAGAUUAGUGUAUUAAAUUUAGAAUUUAAUUAUGUAAGUUUUUAUUUACAAAUAAUAC